rnacentral:misc_RNA from 1 species
GGAUCAUUACAGAGUUUUCUAACUCCCAAACCCAUGUGAACUUACCUUUGUUGCCUCGGCAGAAGCUACCCUGUAACGAGCUACCCUGUAGCGACUUACCCUGUAGCAAUCAUUCUGCCGGUGGACCAUUAAACUCUUGUUAUUUUAUUGUAAUCUGAGCGUCUUAUUUUAAUAAGUCAAAACUUUCAACAACGGAUCUCUUGGUUCUGGCAUCGAUGAAGAACGCAGCGAAAUGCGAUAAGUAAUGUGAAUUGCAGAAUUCAGUGAAUCAUCGAAUCUUUGAACGCACAUUGCGCCCAUUAGUAUUCUAGUGGGCAUGCCUGUUCGAGCGUCAUUUCAACCCUUAAGCCUAGCUUAGUAUUGGGAAUCUACUGUAUUGUAGUUCCUCAAAUCUAACGGCGGAUCUGUGGUAUCCUCUGAGCGUAGUAAAUUUUUAUCUCGCUUUUGUCAGGUGCUGCAGCUCCCAGCCGCUAAACCCCCAAUUUUUAAUGGUUGACCUCGGAUCAGGUAGGAAUACCCGCUGAACUUAAGCAUAUCAAUAAGCGGAGGAAAAGAAACCAACAGGGAUUGCCCUAGUAACGGCGAGUGAAGCGGCAACAGCUCAAAUUUGAAAUCUGGCCCUUGGGUCCGAAUUGUAAUUUGUAGAGGAUGAUUUUGGUGCGGUAUCUUCCGAGUUCCUUGGAACAGGACGCCUUAGAGGGUGAGAGCCCCGUACGGUUGAAUGCCUAGCCUCUGUAAAUCUCCUUCGACGAGUCGAGUAGUUUGGGAAUGCUGCUCUAAAUGGGAGGUAAAUUUCUUCUAAAGCUAAAUACUGGCCAGAGACCGAUAGCGCACAAGUAGAGUGAUCGAAAGAUGAAAAGCACUUUGAAAAGAGGGUUAAAUAGCACGUGAAAUUGUUGAAAGGGAAGGAUUUAUGACCAGACUUUUUCUGGGCGGAUCAUCCGGUGUUCUCACCGGUGCACUUUGCCCAGUUUAGGCCAGCAUCGAUUUUUGGAGAGGGAUAAAAGCUUUAGGAAUGUGGCUCCUCCGGGAGUGUUAUAGCCUAUUGUAUAAUACCUUUCCGGGGAUCGAGGUACGC